GAGGACAAAACUAGAGCUGCUGCAGGAACCGGCUUCACUUCUUGGCAUUGCAUUCUGCUGUAGCAUGCCUCCAGGCUGUCCCAUAGGUCUGUGAGAUCUGUGUUAACUCCAUGUGCAUCAAGGCUGGCAUGACACAGGAGUUUAAAAUAUAAACCAAACUAACUCCUUGACAGAAGAAAUGGAGGAAGGGGUCAUCAGAGAUGUCUGCAGGACUCAGCAUGUGUGGCCUGGGCAUGGCAGUGGUGCUCCCUGGCCCUGUGGCUGGUGGGUGGAGCACAAACAGGGACACAGGAACAUCCAAACCUGUGUGUGACAUACUUAGGCAAAUGCUAAAGCUGUUGGCUUCAAAGCACAGGUUAUUCUGCUCGUCUUCAGGGAAAGGUGCUGAACUUGAUGGACUGCUUGGACAACAAUUCCUGAAUGCCUCUCAGGUUCAGUAUUGCCAGGGACAUUAAAGACUCUCAUCCACUUACAAUUUGUCCCAAGAUAGGAAAAUUAAUGGGCAUGUUUUCACCAACAAGGACUGUUCUGAUCUUACAUGUUUUUAAAUGUUGUUACCAAAUAAAGCCACAUUUGGUAAAUAAAAACCAGCCCCAACAGGUCCCGACCUCGGCCCCUGACUGGCUGUGAAAACAUGG